CGGCGCCAAAGCCCAAAGGAAGUUUUACAGAAUCCAGUCAGAUUGAAGCAAGACGCCAGAGCCGGAGUUUUGUACAUCCAUUUGCACAGUACUGUACAACAAGUUUCCUUUGCUGAGUUCCUUGGUCAGGGGUUAAACACAUUUUCUGUCCAGUACUGCAGUUGGAAUUUUCCAUCAACAUUUUUAUGGUGGCGCAGUGGGAAGUGCUCUCACCUCACAGCAAGAAGAUCGCUAGUUCGAUUCUCGACUGGAUCUGUUGGCAUUUCUGUGUGGAGUCUGCAUGUUCUCCCAGCGUUCGCAUGGGUUUCCUCCGGGUGCUCCGGUUUCCCCCACAAGUCCAAAGACAUGCGGUAUAGGGGAAUUGGACAACCGAUGUCCAUGUCAAAAGAGCGUCUAUUCUUUAAGCUCUCUUUACUUACCUUGGUGAGGAUGAGGCAUGCCUGGUGAAAGAAUACAUGAGCAACCAAAAAGAAGAAUUUUUGAAGGACCUGACAAACACCACCAUGGCCAUAUGUGUCAUCAAAAAGGAAAGAGGAGAUUAUGAGGACAUUGGCAUCGUUGUGGAUGGAACAGUGAUUAUUGAACAGAUAAAAUCUGUUGCACAAGCCUGUGCACUGAUGUUGGGGGCAAUUUAUGUGCUUGAUUUGGCCUACCCAAAAGAACUCAAAUACUAUUUGGAGUUUGCCCAAAAAGUACUUGUGCAAAUGAACUCUGACAAGCUCUCCUCAAAGGUUCUCAUACUGGAAAACAGUGUGAUACUGUAAUUUUAAGCAUUGAAGUGUUGAUAAAUGCUCAACAACCAAAUGUAUAUCAUAUACAAAUUGCAGUUUAGUGUAGGAAUUGUUUAAUAAGUGAAUUCAGUUUUCUUUGUGUGCAAAAUUAAUUAGCUGUAGGAACUUGUUUUAAAUGGUGUGUGUGUGUGUGCGCGUGUGUGUGUGUGUGCGUGCGUGUGUGCGUGCGUGCGUGCGUGCGUGCGUGUGUGUGUGUGUGUGUGAGAGAGAGAGAGAGAGAGAGAGAGCAUGUGCAUUCUAUAAACUGUAUUUAUUCCAUUUCAUACAACUUGUACUUGCUCAAUAUGUUGAGUUAAUUUUUUAAGUUAAUUAGUUGAUUAUUUUGUGUAUUGGGGUGUGUGUAUCAUAAGUAUUGCAGUUUGCUCUAAGACUUCAUAUAGUUUUCUUUUAUGUGUUGGUUUAAAUUAAAUGUGCUGUACAAACUGUUUAUUGUUUUAUGGUGUGCUGCUAAAGCAUUUAUAGGCAGUGAUUUAUGUUUUGUUAAAAAAUGCAUCUUAAAAAGUCAUUAAAAUGAAUUCAAAACAAA
ensembl:processed_transcript